UAAAAAAUAGUAUAAAGGUAGUACUGGAAGUUUUGAGCUUCCAAAUGGGGGUUCAACUCCCUCUUUUUUAA
rnacentral:tRNA from 1 species